rnacentral:rRNA from 1 species
UCAGGACGAACGCUGGCGGCGUGCUUCAUACAUGCAAGUCGAACGAGAAUCUGGCUUCGGUCAGAGGAAAGUGGCGGACGGGUGAGUAAUGUGUAGAGAAUCUGCCCUUAGUGGGGGACAACAGUUGGAAACGACUGCUAAUACCCCAUAUGCGCGUAGCUGAGAUGCUAUUCGUGAAAACUCCGGUGCUAAAGGAUGAGUCUGCAUCUGAUUAGCUAGUUGGCGGUGUAAUGGACCACCAAGGCGACGAUCAGUAGCUGGUUUGAGAGGAUGAUCAGCCACAAUGGGACUGAGACACGGCCCAUACUCCUACGGGAGGCAGCAGUAGGGAAUUUUGCGCAAUGGGGGAAACCCUGACGCAAGCAACGCCGCGUGAUUGAAUAAGCCCUUCGGGGUGUAAAGAUCUGUCAGUGGGGACGAAACUUGACGGUACCCACAGAGGAAGCAUCGGCUAACUCCGUGCCAGCCGCUGC